CAGAUGCUAAUACCGCAUAACAGCGUUGUUCGCAUGAACAACGCUGAAAAGAUGGCUUCUCGCUAUCACUUCUGGAUGGACCUGCGGUGCAUUAGCUUGUUGGUGGGGUAACGGCCUACCAAGGCGAUGAUGCAUAGCCGAGUUGAGAGACUGAUCGGCCACAAUGGGACUGAGACACGGCCCAUACUCCUACGGGAGGCAGCAGUAGGGAAUCUUCCACAAUGGGCGCAAGCCUGAUGGAGCAACACCGCGUGAGUGAAGAAGGGUUUCGGCUCGUAAAGCUCUGUUGUUAAAGAAGAACACGUAUGAGAGUAACUGUUCAUACGUUGACGGUAUUUAACCAGAAAGUCACGGCUAACUACGUGCCAGCAGCCGCGGUAAUACGUAGGUGGCAAGCGUUAUCCGGAUUUAUUGGGCGUAAAGAGAGUGCAGGCGGUUUUCUAAGUCUGAUGUGAAAGCCUUCGGCUUAACCGGAGAAGUGCAUCGGAAACUGGAUAACUUGAGUGCAGAAGAGGGUAGUGGAACUCCAUGUGUAGCGGUGGAAUGCGUAGAUAUAUGGAAGAACACCAGUGGCGAAGGCGGCUACCUGGUCUGCAACUGACGCUGAGACUCGAA
rnacentral:rRNA from 1 species